CAUGGCUCAGGAUGAACGCUGGCGGCGUGCCUAACACAUGCAAGUCGAGCGAGGGUUUGCUCAGUAUUGAGUAUUCUAAGUCUAGAAUGUUCAAUUCUGAGCAAAACCAAGCGGCGGACGGGUGAGUAACGCGUGGGUAACCUGCCCUAUACACAUGGAUAACAUACUGAAAAGUUUACUAAUACAUGAUAAUAUAUAUUUGCGGCAUCGCAGAUAUAUCAAAGUGUUAGCGGUAUAGGAUGGACCCGCGUCUGAUUAGCUAGUUGGUGAGAUAACUGCCCACCAAGGCGACGAUCAGUAGCCGACCUGAGAGGGUGAUCGGCCACAUUGGAACUGAGACACGGUCCAAACUCCUACGG
rnacentral:rRNA from 1 species